rnacentral:rRNA from 1 species
AAGUGGGGAUGACGUCAAGUCCUCAUGGCCCUUAUGUCCAGGGCUACACACGUGCUACAAUGGGCAGUACAAAGGGUAGCAAGCCUGCGAAGGUGAGCCAAUCCCAAAAAGCUGUUCGUAGUUCGGAUUGGAGUCUGCAACUCGACUCCAUGAAGCUGGAAUCGCUAGUAAUCGCGGAUCAGCAUGCCGCGGUGAAUUACGUUCCCGGCCUU